GCCAUGCAUAAGUACUAGCUCUAUUUAGACAGUGAAACCGCGAAUGGCUCAUUAAAUCAGUUAUUGUUUAUUUGGACCUUUUCUAUUAAUUGGAUAACCUUGGCAAUUCUAGGGCUAAUACAUGCGUCAAGUCCCGACUCUGUAGAAGGGACGCCUUUAUUAGAUCAAGACCAAUCGUGCUCUGCACGUAAGUUUGGUGACUCUGGAUAACGUAGUGGAUCGCGAGCUCGACUUGCGACGUACCAUUCAAAUUUCUGCUCCAUCAACUUUCGAUGGUAAAUUACACGCUUACCAUGGUUGUAACGGGUAACGGGGAAUUAGGGUUCGAUUCCGGAGAGGGAGCCUGAGAAACGGCUACCACAUCCAAGGAAGGCAGCAGGCGCGCAAAUUACCCACUCCCGGCACGGGGAGGUAGUGACGAAAAAUAACAAUACAGGAUCUUUAUAGAUUCUGUAAUUGGAAUGAGUGUAUAUUAAAUCCUUACGCGAGGAUCUAUUGGAGGGCAAGUCUGGUGCCAGCAGCCGCGGUAAUUCCAGCUCCAAUAGCGUAUAUUAAAGUUGUUGCAGUUAAAAAGCUCGUAGUUGGAUCUCACAUCUGGUCAUAAUGAGACUCUAUGUUGGGUUAAUUCAUUUGUGGCCGGGCGUUUUUUCUUACCGGCAUUCGCUGCCCUUCAUUGGGUGUUGUCUGCCCGGUGGACGUUUUACUUUGAGGAAAUUAGAGUGUUCAAAGCAGGCUCGUCGCUUGUAUAAUGGUGCAUGGAAUAAUGGAAUACGAUUUUCGUUUUAUUCUGUUGGUCUUGGAGACGGAAAUAAUGAUUAAGAGGGACGGCCGGGGGCGUUCGUAUUGCACCGGGAGAGGUGAAAUUCUUGGAUCGGUGCAAGACGCACUACAGCGAAAGCAUUCGCCAAGAAUGUUUUCAUUAAUCAAGAACGAAAGUUGGAGGUUCGAAGACGAUCAGAUACCGUCGUAGUUCCAACUGUAAACGAUGCCAACUAGCGAUCAGGGAGCGUUACUGAAUGACCUCCCUGGCAGCUUCCGGGAAACCAAAGUCUUUGGGUUCCGGGGGAAGUAUGGUUGCAAAGCUGAAACUUAAAGGAAUUGACGGAAGGGCACCACCAGGAGUGGAGCCUGCGGCUUAAUUUGACUCAACACGGGAAAACUCACCCGGCCCGGACACCGUGAGGAUUGACAGAUUGAGAGCUCUUUCUUGAUUCGGUGGGUGGUGGUGCAUGGCCGUUCUUAGUUGGUGGAGCGAUUUGUCUGGUUAAUUCCGAUAACGAACGAGACUCUGGCUUGCUAAAUAGUGGUGCGAUCCCAUGUGGUCGGCAUUCACUUCUUAGAGGGAUUAGUGGCGUCUAGCCACACGAGAUUGAGCAAUAACAGGUCUGUGAUGCCCUUAGAUGUUCGGGGCCGCACGCGCGCUACACUGAGGGGGUCAACAAGUCAUUCCUUCCCCGAUAGGGGUGGGUAACCUUCUGAAACCUUCUCGUGCUAGGGAUAGGGAAUUGCAAUUAUCUCCCUUGAACGAGGAAUUCCUAGUAAGCGCAAGUCAUUAGCUUGCGUUGAUUACGUCCCUGCCCUUUGUACACACCGCCCGUCGCUACUACCGAUCGAACGAUUUAGUGAGACCUUCGGAUUGUAAACAGUGCAACUUCGGUUGCGCUUUCGCGAGAAGUCGUUCAAACUUGAUCGUUUAGAGGAAGUAAAAGUCGUAACAAGGUUU
rnacentral:rRNA from 1 species